AUAAAUAUUGUAUCUAGUUUAUUGCAGCACUAUUUAUAAUAGCAAAGACUUAGAACUAACCCAAAUGCCUAUCAUGAUAGACUGGAUAAAGAAAAUGUGGCACAUAUACACCAUGGAAUACUAUGCAGCCAUGAAAAAGAAUGAGAUCAUCUCCUUUGCAGAGACUUGGAUAAAGCUGGAAACCAUAAUUCUCAAAAAACUAACACAGGAACAGAAAACCAAAUACCAUGUCAUGUUCUCACUCAUAAGUGGGAGUUGAACAAUGAGAACACAUGGACACAGGGAGGGGAACAUCAUACACUGGGGCCUGUUGGAGGUUGGGGGCAACGGGAGGAAGAGCAUUAGGACAAAUACCUAAUACAUGCGGGGCUUAAAACCUAGAUGAUGGGUUGUUAGGUGCAGCAAACCACCAUGGCACAUGUGUACCUAUGUAACAAACCUGCACAUUCUGCACAUAUAUCCCAGAACUUAAAGUAAAAUAAUAACAAUAAUAAACAAACAAAAGAUUUGGGAACCAAAGAACUAACUGUUGGGACCUUCAAGAUGCAGACAUUUAAUUUUAUAUGUGUCAAUGAAGCAUGCAUGAAAAAGACAAAGAUGAAACAGUGUGUAGUAUUAGGAAAAAUUGUCAAUAUGACCCAGGAAAAUUCACAAAAAGAAAAGAGAGAAACUGAUUAUUUGGUUUGUACUGAAGUGGACUAAUUAUGGGUUAUUUAUAUAAACUGCCAGUCAUGUCUAGUUACCCCAUGGCAAAACAAUGAUUAUCAUUAAACAUUAAACCAUUAAAAAUAAAUAAAUAAAUAUUUUAUCUAUUGAGUACCCCUAUUUUAUUUAUUUGUUUAUUUAUUCAUUUUAAGAGAUAGGGUCUUGUCAUGUUGGCCAGGGUGGAUUCAAAAUCCUGGGCUCAAGCAAUCCUCCCACCUUGGCCUCCUGAGUAGCUAGGACUAUAGGUAUAGUCUAGCUAUGCACCUGGCCAGCAAAACUUAUAUUGAUGUCGUUUCUCUUGCAGUAAGUAUCAAGAGGGGAAUUUGAAAUACCCAUUUUUUGACUAGAUAUUACAUAUAAUUACUUGAGUAUUUUAAAAAGCAGUCCAUGAAAGGUGCAUAGUACAAUGUUGGUCAUAGGGAGUGCUUAGUAAACGUUGACUUUUUUUUCUAAAAACUAUUUUUAUUUCUAGAACUACUUCCUUGUGUUUGGGUAAAUGGUAAAGGAGAAAGAAAGAGUGGCUUUUAUCAAUGAUCAGUUUUCAAGGAAAUUACAUUAUGCAAAUACUUUAUUCUUUAUCUCAUUUAGUAGAAAUCAAUAUCGCCCCUCCAUGUUAGCCAUUUUUUCUUUCCUAUUAAUUACAUCACAGAUCUUAUUCUCAGAAAUAGAUCAAAUCAAACUGAAUUUGUCUUUGCACUCAUACUACAAGAAUACAUUUACAAAAAUCUCAUAAACACAAAUCGUCAUAAUCAUAAUAAUUAUAUUGUGGGCCAGGCGCAGUGGCUCACGCCUGUAAUCCCAGCACUUUGGGAGGCCAAGGUGGGUGGAUCACAAGGUCAGGAGUUCGAGACCAGCCUGGCCAACAUAGUGAAACCCCAUCUCUGCUAAAAAAUACAAAAAAUAAGCCAGGCGUAGUGGUGGGCACCUGUAAUCCCAGCUACUUGGGAGGCUGAGGCAGGAGAAUCGCUUGA
rnacentral:lncRNA from 1 species